GACGAACCGUACGAACGUUAUUCGGAAUCACUGGGCUUAAAGGGUGCGUAGGCGGCGCAGUAAGUUGGGUGUGAAAUCCCUCGGCUUAACCGAGGAAUUGCGCCCAAAACUACUGUGCUCGAGGGAGGUAGAGGUGAGCGGAACUUAGGGUGGAGCGGUGAAAUGCGUUGAUAUCCUAAGGAACACCGGUGGCGAAAGCGGCUCACUGGACCUCUUCUGACGCUGAGGAGCGAAAGCCAGGGGAGCAAACGGG
rnacentral:rRNA from 1 species